AUUAAAAAAAAAAAAAAAAAAUUGCAUUGCAACAGGCUCUGAAUGUUAUGCAAUAGCUGCUGUGGCCUUGUUGUCAUUACACUGUGUUUGUGGCAGCAACUCUGGUUUAAAUCUGUGGUGGAAUAUGUUUCUAUUUGAUUUUCUGCAAUAAAAUUUUGUCAGAUUCUCUCCAAAUAUAAACAUGAUAACAGUUUGGGUGUUGCCCACUUGAUUCUUAGUGGAUUUUUUGAUGAUGAUGCCGCCUUUAUUGAUAAGGCUAAAACUAAUUGUCUCGGAUUCUUAGUUACCACUACCUAUUGAGAAAAAAAAUGAUGUCAAACUAUAACAACAAGCAUCACUGUUUCAUGUUUUUAGUCAUCCAUUACUGGUCUUCAUGAAUGCUUUGUGGCUUUAUGUGAAUGUCUUAUGUCUAGUUAUUCUUGCAAAUGGCCUUCAUAUAUAUGCAAUCUUCUUUCUCAAUAAUAAGGAACAAUUUAAUUGCUCCCUUUCCCCCAAGGAUGCUACUGUCGAGCUGCUCCACAGGAUGCAAAUGUGGGAAUUCGUGUCUCAACAAACCCUUCCAACACUGACCUGUGAAGAAAAUGAAACUAG
rnacentral:misc_RNA from 1 species